CGGGACACGUGGUAUCCUGUCUGAAUAUGGGGGGACCAUCCUCCAAGGCUAAAUACUCCUGACUGACCGAUAGUGAACCAGUACCGUGAGGGAAAGGCGAAAAGAACCCCGGCGAGGGGAGUGAAAAAGAACCUGAAACCGUGUACGUACAAGCAGUGGGAGCACGCUUAGGCGUGUGACUGCGUACCUUUUGUAUAAUGGGUCAGCGACUUAUAUUCUGUAGCAAGGUUAACCGAAUAGGGGAGCCGAAGGGAAACCGAGUCUUAACUGGGCGUUAAGUUGCAGGGUAUAGACCCGAAACCCGGUGAUCUAGCCAUGGGCAGGUUGAAGGUUGGGUAACACUAACUGGAGGACCGAACCGACUAAUGUUGAAAAAUUAGCGGAUGACUUGUGGCUGGGGGUGAAAGGCCAAUCAAACCGGGAGAUAGCUGGUUCUCCCCGAAAGCUAUUUAGGUAGCGCCUCGUGAAUUCAUCUCCGGGGGUAGAGCACUGUUUCGGCAAGGGGGUCAUCCCGACUUACCAACCCGAUGCAAACUGCGAAUACCGGAGAAUGUUAUCACGGGAGACACACGGCGGGUGCUAACGUCCGUCGUGAAGAGGGAAACAACCCAGACCGCCAGCUAAGGUCCCAAAGUCAUGGUUAAGUGGGAAACGAUGUGGGAAGGCCCAGACAGCCAGGAUGUUGGCUUAGAAGCAGCCAUCAUUUAAAGAAAGCGUAAUAGCUCACUGGUCGAGUCGGCCUGCGCGGAAGAUGUAACGGGGCUAAACCAUGCACCGAAGCUGCGGCAGCGACGCUUAUGCGUUGUUGGGUAGGGGAGCGUUCUGUAAGCCUGCGAAGGUGUGCUGUGAGGCAUGCUGGAGGUAUCAGAAGUGCGAAUGCUGACAUAAGUAACGAUAAAGCGGGUGAAAAGCCCGCUCGCCGGAAGACCAAGGGUUCCUGUCCAACGUUAAUCGGGGCAGGGUGAGUCGACCCCUAAGGCGAGGCCGAAAGGCGUAGUCGAUGGGAAACAGGUUAAUAUUCCUGUACUUGGUGUUACUGCGAAGGGGGGACGGAGAAGGCUAUGUUGGCCGGGCGACGGUUGUCCCGGUUUAAGCGUGUAGGCUGGUUUUCCAGGCAAAUCCGGAAAAUCAAGGCUGAGGCGUGAUGACGAGGCACUACGGUGCUGAAGCAACAAAUGCCCUGCUUCCAGGAAAAGCCUCUAAGCAUCAGGUAACAUCAAAUCGUACCCCAAACCGACACAGGUGGUCAGGUAGAGAAUACCAAGGCGCUUGAGAGAACUCGGGUGAAGGAACUAGGCAAAAUGGUGCCGUAACUUCGGGAGAAGGCACGCUGAUAUGUAGGUGAAGUCCCUCGCGGAUGGAGCUGAAAUCAGUCGAAGAUACCAGCUGGCUGCAACUGUUUAUUAAAAACACAGCACUGUGCAAACACGAAAGUGGACGUAUACGGUGUGACGCCUGCCCGGUGCCGGAAGGUUAAUUGAUGGGGUCAGCGCAAGCGAAGCUCUUGAUCGAAGCCCCGGUAAACGGCGGCCGUAACUAUAACGGUCCUAAGGUAGCGAAAUUCCUUGUCGGGUAAGUUCCGACCUGCACGAAUGGCGUAAUGAUGGCCAGGCUGUCUCCACCCGAGACUCAGUGAAAUUGAACUCGCUGUGAAGAUGCAGUGUACCCGCGGCAAGACGGAAAGACCCCGUGAACCUUUACUAUAGCUUGACACUGAACAUUGAGCCUUGAUGUGUAGGAUAGGUGGGAGGCUUUGAAGUGUGGACGCCAGUCUGCAUGGAGCCGACCUUGAAAUACCACCCUUUAAUGUUU
rnacentral:rRNA from 1 species